AGCACCAAAGAAGGUGACAGUCCCGUAAACGUAAGUUAAAAUCUAGGGUAUCAAUAAGUACGGCGAGACACGAGAAAUCUUGUCGGAAGAUGGGAGGACCAUCUCCUAAGGCUAAAUACUUCUUAGUGACCGAUAGUGAACUAGUACCGUGAGGGAAAGGUGAAAAGAACCCCGAAAGGGGAGUGAAAUAGAUCCUGAAACUGUGUGCCUACAAUUAGUCAAAGCACGUUAAUGUGUGAUGGCUUGCCUUUUGCAGAAUGAACCGGCGAGUUAUGAUAUGGAGCAAGGUUAAGUUUUAAGGAACGGAGCCGUAGCGAAAGCGAGUCUUAAUAGGGCGUUUAGUUGCAUGUCAUAGACCCGAAACUGAAGUGAGCUAGCCAUGAGCAGGUUGAAGUUUAGGUAAAACUAAAUGGAGGACCGAACCAGGACACGUUGAAAAGUGUUUGGAUGACUUGUGGCUAGGGGUGAAAUUCCAAUCGAACUCAGAGAUAGCUGGUUCUCCCCGAAAUAGCUUUAGGGCUAGCGUUGAUUUAGUAAUUUGGUGAAGGUAGAGCACUGAAUGAGUAAGGGCUCCACCUCGGGGUACCGAACUCAAUCAAACAAAAUCAGCAGUCAGACUGUGGGUGAUAAGGUCCAUGGUCAAAAGGGAAAGAGCCCAGACCGUCAGCUAAGGUCCCAAAAUUGAUGUUAAGUGGCAAAGGAAGUGAAGAUGUUUAAACAACUAGGAGGUUGGCUUAGAAGCAGCCAUCCUUUAAAGAGUGCGUAAUAGCUCACUAGUCGAAUGACUCUGCGCCGAAAAUGUACCGGGGCUAAAACAUCAUACCGAAGCUACGGAUUCAAAUAACUUCUUAGUUAUUUGAAUGGUAGGGGAAGCGUU
rnacentral:rRNA from 1 species